CACGGUCAAAUGUAGUAACAGGAAGCCACGGCUUUUCAGGUGAAAGACGACCGAUGUAAAAGGAGAGAUACUUCCUUGGGUUUCAAUCCCUAAAACUGCCCUUUGAUGCCCUUACACGGACGCUUCUUGCAUGGUGGGGUAUGUGCCUAACCCAUUUCAUGUGUCAGGGCAAAGCAGAUUAGACGGCACCCAACAAUUCAUCUGUACGAAAGGCGAAUACUUUUUAUUAUGACA
rnacentral:sRNA from 12 species